CUCGAAACGUCAACUCUUUUCUUCUCCGCCGAUGCUGCCAGACCUGCUGAGUUUUAAAAGGUUCUACAAUGAAAUCAAAACAGACAACAGUCCACUGAAAGAUAGGAAUUAAGUGGAACAUACAUCAAACAUUGGACAUCCCAUGACUCCCUCACCUGCUGCAUCUAUGGUUCCGUAGAGUUUCAGUGGCUCAUCAACUGUAACGAGGCGAGAGCUCAACAGGAGGAGGCUGUUGUUUGUAACUUUAUUUUUCAUAAUUUAUUUCCUGUAUUAUAAGUAUUUUAUGGAUUAUAAGUGCAGGACCCAAAAUCCCCAAAUCCGGCACAUGUCCAGUCCCAAGCUUCCCAGAUAUGGGGUCUGGUACCUGUAUUUCAGACGUUGCUAAGACUGGAUAACAAAACAAUUUAAGAGCGUCAUGGUUCAUGCAAUAAAUGUAGUGGCAGGAAACUGGGUCCUUGGCCAUGGGUAAAACUGUGCAACACUGAAAACACGUUGUUUGAGGAUUGAAGAAGAACUGAUGCAUGAGUGGAGAUGUUAUCUCAAUUCGUCAGGAUGUCCAGGUUUGCAGCAUGCUUAAAAGGGAGCAGAGGGGAGAACUUUGGGGCACAGCUGACCAUUACUGCAUGCUAGCUGUAGGUUUUCUUGCAGCAGAUGGCACAGCUGUCAGUGCUUUCCUAGUGAUUCUGACCAACUACAGGCAAAGCUGCUCUGAUAAAUUCAGGUAGGUGUGCCUCUACCUUUUAAAUGCAGGUAUGAGGAUGCUAUUACUUGAGCACAGUCUGUCUCAGCUGCAUUUUAUCUCCUUCAUCCAAAAAGUAGUUAGCAAAAAUGGUGUGAAAUCACAUGGUCUCAAAGCCUCCGGUGCAAUUCAGUGUUGACAAACGGAGAGAAGAAACAGAGGUUAACAAAAAAAAAACAUUUUUUUAAACAAGUCUUAUUUAAGAGUCCCAGUCAAAGAGUUCUUUCUCAAUGUGAGACACUACUUUCAGAAGAAGGGUGAUAAGGACUAGAAAAGCAGGAGAAAAAGUGGAGGAUAAAGAACAUCUGAUUUUUAAAAAAAAGCAAUAACAUAAUGUCUUCAAUAACUAUAACCUUGUAUGCAUCCCUCCAAGCUCCACUUAAGAGACAUUUAACAAACAACGUAUCUUUCGCAUUUAACUCACCUUAUC